UUUGAUGCCCCAUCGCCCGGUCCUUUAGUUUAGUGUAGAAAGCCCUAGUAGUCUGGCCCCGCCUUCUCCUCUGACCUUAGAACUCCCUGCUUCCUGCCUUGAAAUCUAUAUUCAGUGGAGCUGAGCCACUUAAACAGUUCCAAAGACUAUGUGUCCUCUGUCCUGGGACUAUUCCGACUUUAGGACCCAGUUGAUUGCAGAGCUCCUACUCUGUCCCUAAGGAGCAGGGACAAUGCCUGCUUACAUAACAAGUGCUCAAGAAAUGUUGCCAGAAUGAAUAAAGGGAAGGAGGAAAGAAAUCUAGCUUCAAGAUCAUGACGUCAUAUUGCCCAUCCUGGUUUCCCAGGAGGGCCUGACACAUGUGGGCAUCAAGAAACAUCUGCUAAAUGAAGAAAGAAACAAACAAGUUCCACUUUUAAUCACUUAACAAAAUGUCUCGGAAUUGCUUUUUUUUCUGUGCUCAUAAAUACAGACUUUCAUCAUCAUCUGUUUUAUUGGCUGCAUAUAUUUCAAUGUAUUUAUCAAAUUAAUCCUUUACUGAUUGCCUGUAACAGGUAGCAUCCACUUUGUCACUAUUAUAAACAAUAAUGUGAUGAAUAUGCUUUUACGUAGGUUUGUAUACAUAUGGGAU